rnacentral:lncRNA from 1 species
UGUUUAUCAACCUACCUGGUCUGUUGGAAAGACAUCACCCCAACCCUCCACCACCAAUAAGUAGGAGCAGAGAAUGAAGAGGAUGGAGAAUCUCAAAAGGGAUCUCAAGAAGAUCAAAAAAGAGAGAGAUUAAUUCCAGGGAACCCUGGCCAAUUACACUAACAAGGAUUUAAAUGACAGGAUCAACUUUGAGACUUUCAUAAUCAAGAUGCAACAUGAUCAGGUGAUGACUGACCUGAAUAGAAUGCCCCAGGACAUCAGUGAGGCCUUAUACAAAUGUAAGGAGCUGACUAAAGAAAAUCAAUUCUACUACCACCUCCUGAGUGAAUCUGACCAUCUCCAUCACAAAGUCAGGAUUUUGUGAAAGGAGAACAGACUGCUGCUAGGGAACCAGACUGGAUUGGAAAAAUGCUCCAAAAAAACCAAAGAGGCUGUGUAAAGAAGGCAGCCGGAAGAUCAAUGACCUAUCUACCAAGAAGCAGCAGGUAGG